AAGGGUAGAGCUCAGUGGUAGAGUGUGUGCUUAGCAUGCACGAGGUCCUGGGUUCAAUCCCCAGUACCUCCA
rnacentral:tRNA from 1 species